ensembl:lncRNA
CAGCCCCACAACUCAGUCCUCCAGUCCCAUAGUGAGGUCCUCCAGCCCCACAACUAGGUCCUCCAGCCUCAUAGCAAGGUCCUCCAGACCCAAAAGUUGGUCCUCCAGCCCCACAACUCAGUCCUCCAGCCCCACAUCUCAGUCCUCCAGCCCCACUUCCAAGUCCUCCAACCCCACAACUCAGUCCUCCAGCCCCACAUCCAAGUCCUCCAGCCCCCCAACUCAGUCCUCCAGGGGGUGAAAGAACCAAUCAGGGCAGCUGCCCUUAUUUGGGCCGCGGCCCCUUUAAGAAGCGCCGAUCGCACCCAAAGGGGCAAAGAGCGCCGGGCAAAGGGCGCCCCGCCCCAUAGCGACUCGGUCCUCCUGCCCCACAACUAGGUCCUCCAGCCCCACAAGUAGGUCCUCCUGACCCACAGCGAGGUCCUCCAGCCCCACAGCGAGGUCCUCCAGUGAACAGUGAGGUCCUCCUGCCCCACAACUCGGUCCUCCAGUGAACAGUGAG